rnacentral:rRNA from 1 species
GAUGAACGCUAGCGGCAGGCCUAAUACAUGCAAGUCGAACGAUAUUGAGGGGCUUGCUCCUCAAGAAAGUGGCGCACGGGUGCGUAACGCGUAUGCAACCUACCUUAAUCAGGGGGAUAGCCCGAAGAAAUUCGGAUUAACACCGCAUAAAACACAGUACAGCAUUGUACAAUGUUCAAAUAUUUAUAGGAUUAAGAUGG